CCUGCAGGAGGCAGUGGGCGAGCAGGCGGGGCAGCCCAAUGCCAUGGGCCUGACCUCACCGCUGCAUCCUUCCC
ensembl:miRNA